GACGAACGCUGGCGGCGUGCUUAACACAUGCAAGUCGAACGGAAAGGCCCUGCUUUUGUGGGGUGCUCGAGUGGCGACCGGGUGAGUAACACGUGAGUAACCUGCCCUUGACUUUGGGAUAACUUCAGGAAACUGGGGCUAAUACCGGCUAGGAGCUCCUGCUGCAUGGUGGGGGUUGGAAAGUUUCGGCGGUUGGGGAUGGACUCGCGGCGUAUCAGCUUGUUGGUGGGGUAGUGGCUUACCAAGGCUUUGACGGGUAGCCGGCCUGCGAGGGUGACAGGCCACAUUGGGACUGAGAUACGGCCCAGACUCCUACGGGAGGCAGCAGUGGGGAAGAUUGCACAAGGGGCGGAAGCCUGAUGCAGCAACGCCGCGUGCGGGAUGACGGCCUGCGGGUUGUAAACCGCUUUCGCCUGUGACGAAGCGUGAGUGACGGUAAUGGGUAAAGAAGCACCGGCUAACUACGUG
rnacentral:rRNA from 1 species